rnacentral:lncRNA from 1 species
UGAACUGGGCUGUUUGCAGUCUGUGGUGGGAGGGAGUCAAGGAAAGGGGAAUUAAAGUUCAUGGAGGAAGCUGUAGUCUUAGGUCAAGCUGAGAUGUGACAUUUGGAGCUUGCCAAGUCCACGAGGGAACAUAAGUUGCCUUUGGACAGCUUCUCAACGGCCCCUCUGUGGCCCUGAGUCUCAGGCCCUGAUUAGUUUCUGGAGCCUCGAAGUUUGUGGUGACAUGUUGGUGGCCAGUCAGAAUGCCUGGGAGAAAUUUUGAAUCAACAACCAUCGUGUUCUUCCAAUUGGGUUCUUUUCCAGGUCUCUUGAGUUUGGAAGCCAGUGUUCAGUCACACAAAAGGGUCUACGUGUUUACCAGCCUCUUCCAUGACCCUGAUCAGCAAGCUUUGGUGGAAGACAUCUGUGUCUAGACAAAAGACUGGUUAGUCUUUGUGAAAGUAAAUGUUCCAGGUCUGACUCAACCUGACCAAGAGCCAAGAAAAGGAUGAUAAGGCUGAUGGAAAAGAUUUUCUUAAUGAACGGCAAUAAAAAACAGCCCAAAGGUGAAGGCAAGAAACAGCCUUGGUGUUUCCUGGGGCUGCUGGUCCCAGACAGGCUCUUGAAAGCACUCAAGGAUAAGAGGUA